rnacentral:rRNA from 1 species
ACACUCCUGCGGGAGGCAGCAGUGGGGAAUAUUGGACAAUGGGCGCAAGCCUGAUCCAGCCAUGCCGCGUGAGUGAUGAAGGCCCUAGGGUUGUAAAGCUCUUUCACCGGUGAAGAUAAUGACGGUAACCGGAGAAGAAGCCCCGGCUAACUUCGUGCCAGCAGCCGCGGUAAUACGAAGGGGGCUAGCGUUGUUCGGAUUUACUGGGCGUAAAGCGCACGUAGGCGGACUAUUAAGUCAGGGGUGAAAUCCCGGGGCUCAACCCCGGAACUGCCUUUGAUACUGGUAGUCUUGAGUUCGAGAGAGGUGAGUGGAAUUCCGAGUGGAGAGGUGAAAUUCGUAGAUAUUCGGAGGAACACCAGUGGCGAAGGCGGCUCACUGGCUCGAUACUGACGCUGAGGUGCGAAAGCGUGGGGAGCAAACAGGAUUAGAAACCCUAGUAGUCCCAUGA